rnacentral:tRNA from 2 species
GGACGGUUGGCGCAGCGGGAGCGCAACUGCCUUACAAGCAGUGGGUCGGGGGUUCAAAUCCCUCACCGUCCACCA